rnacentral:hammerhead_ribozyme from 1 species
GAACUGCUGAAGAGUCCCAAAAUAGAACGAAACGGCUGUCCAGUGC